rnacentral:lncRNA from 1 species
CUACUGAAGAGCUGGGUUUGACUAUUACCAUACACAAUAACUAAACCUCUUUACCCUACCCAGUGCUCUAUUACUUGGGUUAGACAAACUAGGAUUUGUUUUUGCUUUAAAGUCUCAUCUAGAGAUGAGCCAGCUUAUUACCAGUGACAACUGUGAAAAAAGGACAGAGGCAUGCCCACGAGGGAUUGUCCCUGAUAAUUUCUGCCUCAAUGGUAAAGUAGAUAGGUAAAUUUGACUGAGUGUCUUUUCUAUCCAUUGCAUAGUAGCAGUAGCAUCAGUGAAGAGACUUUCUCCAGCAAUAACGAGAAGACAGCUAAUAUGAAAUGGUGGGAUGUGCUCAUCUACAGGCAUAAAAUCAAAAAAGUCCGUAUGUGAAAAACCAAGCACGUGGCACCACUGCACCUGGAUACAGUGCAGCUGUCAGCCCAGGAGGGAGGGAGAAGAUAUUCAACUUGCAAAGAUACAGCAUACGAAGGGAGAACACCCUCCUGGUUCGGGCACGGUUGUAGCUGUGAGGAGUGCCAGAUCUUCUCCAGGGUCAGCUGCAGACCUGCUGCAUAAGUUAUGAUUGCAGUAUUUCGGAUACUAACUACCUAAAUGGUACAAAAACAUUUCUAUUUCUUAGUGGUGCAUUUGAGGCUACAUUACCAAGGGGAUGUAAAGAAUUUUUAAAAUUCCUGUGUUAAAACGCCUAAUUAGUGCCAAUGUAUUAAAAGAAGAGGCUUUCUCCAGGCCACUUUUUUACUGUUGCUUGGUCAAUUAGGGUAAAUGAAAAGACAAUGGCUAUGAUUUUCCACUCCAUCCUUGUAGUUUCACAUUAAUGUAAUAGGGCAAUUAACACCUGAGGCUUUAGCCUCUGCAGCUGCUGAGCCAGAGGAAGCAGUUGCGGCUGGGCUACGGGGAAGUCUAGGCUGAGCAGACACCAGCGAGUGAAGGAGGCAGAGCUGUGAGCCAACCACCUGGCUUCAUGGCCUGUGUGUAAAGUCUUUUUGAUGUACAUCACAUGCAAACAAGAGACUGAACCCUCUGUAAAUAGCAACGCUUCAUACUAAUAGUUGAAAAUUAGUAAGUGCUUUACACAUAUAUACACACACACACACACAUAUAUAUAUAUAAAUAAAAUGUCAGUCAUAUGAGGCCCUGCUAGCA